GUGCCAGCCGCCGCGGUAAUACAGAGGGUGCGAGCGUUAAUCGGAAUUACUGGGCGUAAAGGGUGCGUAGGUGGAUAUUUAAGUGAGAGGUGAAAUCCCCGGGCUUAACCUGGGAACUGCCUCUUAUACUGGGUAUCUGGAGUGUGGUAGAGGGUAGUGGAAUUUCCGGUGUAGCGGUGAAAUGCGUAGAUAUCGGAAGGAACACCAGUGGCGAAGGCGGCUACCUGGACUAACACUGACACUGAGGCACGAAAGCGUGGGGAGCAAACAGGAUUAGAUACCCUGGUAGUCC
rnacentral:rRNA from 1 species